UACGUAGGGACCAAGCGUUGUUCGGAUUUACUGGGCGUAAAGGGCGCGUAGGCGGCGUGGUAAGUCACUUGUGAAAUCUCCGAGCUUAACUCGGAACGGUCAAGUGAUACUGCUGUGCUAGAGUACAGAAGGGGCAAUCGGAAUUCUUGGUGUAGCGGUGAAAUGCGUAGAGAUCGGGAGGAACACCAGAGGCGAAGGCGGCGACCUGGACAGGUACUGACACUCAACUACGAAAGCGUGGGGAGCAAACAGG
rnacentral:rRNA from 1 species